GCCGCUGGGCGGCGCCCUGGGCACAGCCCUGAGGGCUGUGAGGGCCAGAAAACACCUGGAGCGCCCGGGAACGGGCUCCAUUCCCUGAUACGCCCUCACGCCGCGCUCUCCGAACUCGCGCUCCUGGGAACAGCUGAUGUUUUAAAACAGGGUACUGCAACUCCUUGAAAUUCCAGACUGGGACAAGUAUGAAACUUCAGAGCUUUCAGCAGAUUCAUUGUACCACAAAAGGAACCUGCCCUGUGUUAGAGGUGGCAUCUGAGAUGGAGGCUUCCCAUAGGUGUACCUUGUAAUGACAACUGCAGCCUUUGCCUUAGGACAAAGAUACACACUGAGGACCUGGGCACAUUUAGGGGAUGCUGACUGAGAAGCUAACCAGUGAUCACAGGGUAUUCUGAGACAGCCAAGGUGGACUCAUUUUCCAUGCAGUGUGGAUUUACAUUGCUGCUUAUCCAAAAGCUAAGUUGGGGGUAAUGACUGGGAGGUGGGAUGAUAACAGGGCAGUGGAUUCCUGGAAGAGUUAAAAAUUAGUGCAGGGGGAAGGAAUACCUUUGAAGAGACCUCUUGGGACAGCUAUAAGGAGCAGCUCUACUUUUGAUUGCAGCUGUAGGGGGUGCAGAGCAGUUCCAGUGUGUGUUGUGUUGUCAGGUGUGUCUUCUGUGUCUUUGGCAUCCCUUGGAUCAGAUUACUCUGGCCUUUUACCCUCAAGGGGCUUGUUGCAAUUGUUGGCUGUCACCUCUUGGUUCUCAAAUACUUGUUUCUUGGCAUAAUGCCAAUAUCAAUUGCUCUUUUACUGGUAAGCUUGGUUGUGUCUUGGAAUUGCAUCUUGGAAGUAUUGAGCCAGACAUCUUUUGAGGCCUUUUUCUUGGCUGUAUUGUCAUCCAUCCUUUCCAGCCAUGAGCUGUAAUGUCCCAGGGCUUGUAAGGUUGUAAGGAUAUGUGAAGCAUUCUGAAUGUGGGAUUGUCUCACAGCUGUCUUGAUCAUCAUGACCAACAGUUCUUAGAACUAUUACAAUCUUCUGCUCCUUAAACCCUCUUCCAUCCACCAUUGCCAUACUAUUGGUCAUCUCUUUUGGUCUUGUCUUGAUCCUUGCCAUUCUUCUUCUCACUGAGAGCUUUUUUUUAUCAUCCUCGUGUCACGCUGUUUGAGUGUUUGUGUUUACCCUGGAACUGCUCUGCCCUGGGGAAUAGACUGGGUGGUAGGUGGAGUAGAAAGAAGACUUUGCAGGUGAUCUUUUGCUGUGCUUAGCCACUUGAGCCCCACCUUGGAUGGAGCAAGCAUCAGGGUUUGGUGGAGCAGUACAGCAGCAUCUCGCAGUUUUGUAGCUGUUUGUCUCAAGGCACGCUGUUGUUGGGUCCUAGGUGGUGUGCCUUGAGAAAUGAGAGCUUGGGAAAGGUUAAGCUUUCCCUGUGUGUAUGGGUGACUUUGACAAAUAGUUCUUUGGGCUGGUGAGCCAGAUGAGUACUGGCAAGUGAGAUGAGCAUUGAUUCUAGUACAGAACUAGAUGCUACUGGAGUUGUUGUAUUAGUGAUGAAACUAUAAGCAUCCUUUUUUGUGUGUUUUACAGGUGGUCUGCAGCAUGGAAACUGCUAGUCCAGCAUGACAGAGAUCCUUGUGAGACGCUACCACGGUCAAGUGGUUUCAGAUGGAAACUACUACAGCAAAGCGAUGCCUUUGGACCCUGUGUUGGAAGUGAAGUGCAAUAUCAGCUGUCAAGGUCAAGUAAGCAAGGGCUGAACCCCCCCUGCCAACCAGCUGAUGGAGCCUCUUUGCUGCCCUUGAGCUGCUAUUACGAGCCUUCCAGAAGUAUUAUGGGAUUUUGUGAUGAAGCCUUUACCUUUUCCACUUGAAGGUGCCAUCCAGAUAUACCUUGUGAUGAUGCCAUCAGCCUCUGAGCACAGCUGGAGGGUGGGGCUGAGGACCCAGGCAUUCCUAGGAGAUGCUGACUAAGAGACAACAGCCUGGUGAUGGCAGGAACUUCCCAGCUGGUGAGGCAGCCUUCUUUAGCACCUGAUGUUAAUUUGCAUUGCUGGACUGAGCAGAUGGAUUAAACCUGUGGCAGAGUGCCCCACACCAGGAAGUAAUGCUGGAUACCGGCAGUCAAGGUUGAUGGAAUGAGGUGGUCCACUUGCAAACACCCAGGGGAGGCCAGGCCCUGCAACUGCCCUCAGAAUGCCAAGGAAUAGAGGCAAACAGAACAGCAAUUCUCUGGGCCAUCCAUCCGAAUCAUCCAGAUUAGAUGAAGAGUUGAGGUAUCUGUGAGCAGGUAUGGAGCUGAAGUUUGGAAACAGCAGCUGCCAUGGGGAACAUAUCAACAUCCACCGUGCUGAUGCGCUCUUUUCUGUCAAGGAUGGAUUUUGGCCACUUGUCUUCAGAGAGCUAAGUGUUCAGACUGGUGGUUGGGAGGAGGAAAACCUUUGGGAGGCAAUUUGAAGCUAGUUUUGAGGGGAGGGCUGUUUUGGGACAGACCCUUUGGGACUAAAGGGGGAGGGUUUUUCCUCAGCAUCACCCAAGCCUUUGUAGGGCUCUUCCAACCCAUCUCUGUGUUGUCAUGAGCUUCGUGUCAUCAGCCUUUGAGUCUUGAUGUCAUCCUGGAUCUUUUUGCCUGAGGAGCCCACCUUUGGGUCUGGUACGAUGGCCACAGUCUCAAUUUUACCUGCUCAUCAGCGCUCAAGCACUCCUAGGGUAGCAUGCACGCAUCCUGAGCCUUGGCCACAUUCUGCAAUGUCCCUUUGCUGGCAGAGUCCUUCUCUAGGGAUUCCUUUGUAUCACCUGGCAGUCAUUGGACCUACUCUAGGCCUACUAUGCUUCUCAAGCAUCCUCUUAACAUCUUCAGCACUGACUUCUUGUAAGGAGCUCUUGCCCUAGAGCCUUCUUUCCUUCGGCAUCAUCGGCCUCUGGCUCAUCUUGCACUAGCAAUCUUGGGUUCAUGAGGUGAAAGUGCUGGAAAGUUUCAGCUUGUGUUGAUGUAAUGGAUCUUGUGUCUAUGUUCUGUUGUUUGUGUCCAUUGUCUUCUGUGUCACAGGGCUUUGUUGUGUCUCUGUGUUUUCUCAGUGUGGUUCUGGGCUGUGUGGGAAGCGUGGGUCUCUACUUGUGUACUUUUCCAGAUCAGGCUUAUUCUGGCAUCUUUACAUUCUUACUUCUUGAGACCAGAAGUACAUAAAAUGUUCUCAUCCCUCUUCCUUCUCAGUUUUGGAAGUGUCUUUUUAUCCAUUCCUCAGUGUGGGAGUUCUGUAGGUUCUGUUGCCUCAAAGUGCAUCAGGCUCAAUUAUUUAUCUUCUGGAGAGUUAUCUCAAGUCCUCAUGUCAUCUUUGCUUAUAUUUGGUGCAUUUAUGCUUGGAGCUGCCCUGCCCUGGCAUGCAGAGUUAUGGCUGGGUUGAACAGUUAUAAAACUGUAAACCUCUCUUGUCUGGGGAGUUUUGGGUAGAAAAUUUAUGGGCCUGGUGUGGAGAUAACUCUACGCUGUCAGCUACUUGUAUCUCACCUCACGCUGUCUUGCAGGUUCCUGAGGCAGAUUCUGAUCCCUGCUGUCACUGAUGCUACUGAUUAUCCCAGAACCUUCUGUUCCAGGUCGAGGAGCAGCAGUUGAAGGGCUGCAGUCAGUGUGACAGGAAAAUCCACUUAACUCCUCCCACCAUUGCCAAAAACCUUUGGUGUUUGAGCAGCCAAACCCAACAGGCUGCACUGGAGGGUCCCUGGUUCCUGCCUGUGGUGUGGAGCAAGUCCUCAGCUUCCCCAGAGUGUUUCUAUCCAGAGGGAUCUGCUCUGGUUCAGGCUGUCCUUGCAGUGCCCCACACCUGAGACAGAGAGAGCCCUGUCCAAAGUGGCCUUUGCCACAUCAGGAAUGUGGCAGCCACAGCCCUGGGAGCAGAUUGGAGGUGAGAACUGGGGCUGGGUUUGACACUGAUCCA